CAACAUUAGGUUGAAACGCCAGUUCCCGUAUGAUCACCGAAGUUAAGCAAUGUCAGUACCUGGAUGGGUGACCGCUUGGGAAUAGCAGGUUCUGU
rnacentral:rRNA from 1 species